UACAGGGGGGGCAAGCGUUGCUCGGAAUUACUGGGCGUAAAGGGCUCGUAGGCGCCUUCUAAGUCGAACGUGAAAUCCCCGGGCUCAACCCGGGAACUGCGUCCGAUACUGGAAGGCUUGAAUCCGGGAGAGGGAUGCGGAAUUCCAGGUGUAGCGGUGAAAUGCGUAGAUAUCUGGAGGAACACCGGUGGCGAAGGCGGCAUCCUGGACCGGCAUUGACGCUGAGGCGCGAAAGCCAGGGGAGCAAACGGG
rnacentral:rRNA from 1 species